rnacentral:snoRNA from 1 species
AGCUCUGUGAUUUGAACCAAUCACAUUGGUUUUAUACUCUAUCCUGAUUGGAGCU